rnacentral:rRNA from 1 species
AGAGUUUGAUCCUGGCUCAGAACGAACGCUGGCGGCGUGGCUAAGACAUGCAAGUCGAACGGACCGUCCGAUUGGGUAACCGAGAGGACGGUUAGUGGCGAAAGGGUGCGGAAUGGUUAGGUAACGUACCCCGUACUCCGGGAUAGCGUCCUGAAAGGGGCAUUAAUACCGGAUGAUAUCCUCGGAUUAAUUUGGAUGAUCAAAGAUUUAUCGGCAUGGGAGCGGCCUAACUCCUAUCAGCUUGUUGGUGAGGUAAAGGCUCACCAAGGCUAUGACGGGUAGCGGGACUGAGGGGUUGGCCCGCAACAUCGGGACUGAGACACUGCCCGGACCUCCACGGAGGGCUGCAGUAACGAAUCUUGUGCAAUGAGCGAAAGCUUGACACAGCGACGCCGCGUGUAGGAUGAAGUCUUUCGGGGAAGACGGAAGUGGGCUGAAUAAUCUCAUUUCCAGACGGUACCCCCAAAGGAAGCCCCGGCUAAUUCCGUGCCAGCAGCCGCGGUAAUACGGAAGGGGCGAGCGUUGUUCGGAAUUAUUGGGCGUAAAGGGCGCGUAGGCGGUUUCGUAUGUCCGCUGUGAAAGCACACGGCUCAACCGUGGAGAGUCGGUGGAAACUGCGAAACUUGAGGCUGGGAGGGGCUGGUGGAAUUCCCUGUGUAGCGGUGAAAUGCGUAGAUAUGGGGGAGAACACUCGUGGCGAAGGCGGCCAGCUGGACCAGUUCUGACGCUGAGGCGCGACAGCGUGGGGAGCAAACAGGAUUAGAUACCCUGGUAGUCCACGCCGUAAACGAUGGGCACUAGGUAUGGGAGGUUCUGAAUCCGUCGGUGCCGGCGCAAAAGUGUUAAGUAGGCCGCCUGGGGAGUACGGUCGCAAGGCUAAAACUCAAAGGAAUUGACGGGGGCUCACACAAGCGGUGGAGCAUGUGGAUUAAUUCGAAGCAACGCGCAGAACCUUACCUGGGUUUGACAUGUUUGGAUGCUAAUCUGGAAACAGAGGAUGCUGCCUUAGGGUGAAACUUACACAGAUGCUGCAUGGCUGUCGUCAGCUCGUGUCGUGAGAUGUCGGGUUAAGUCCUUUAACGAGCGAAACCCUUACCGUUAGUUACCAGCGGGUCAUGCCGGGAACUCUAGCGGGACUGCCGGUGUUAAACCGGAGGAAGGCGGGGAUGACGUCAAGUCCUCAUGGCCUUUAUGCCCAGGGCUUCACACGUGCUACAAUGGUGACUACAGAGCGACGCAAGAUCGUGAGAUGGAGCAAAUCGCAAAAAAGUCGCCUCAGUUCGGAUUGUAGGCUGUCAACUCGCCUACAUGAAGUUGGAAUCGCUAGUAAUCGCGUAUCAGCUACGACGCGGUGAAUGUGUUCCUGAGCCUUGUACACACCGCCCGUCAAGUGAUGGAAGUUGGGAGUACCCGAAGUCGGAUUGCUAACCCCUAGGGGAAGCGUGCCGACGGUAAGCUCGGUGACUGGCACUAAGUCGUAACAAGGUAGCCGUA